AAUAGCUGCUGAGUUACGCAGUGUGCUAAGUACAGACUUUGAAAACAAAAUAUUUUUCUUCCUAUUUAAUAGCUGAAGAACAUAAAGGUAGCAAAUGAAAAAUGAAUGGGUUCCCAAGACAGCGUUCUCUUCCACUGCCACACAGGACACUGGGAAACAAAGGCCUGAAAAAGAUGUUCUUGGGCCAUCAAGAUGGACCAGAAGCUUAUGCAGUGUAUACACUAUACACCCUUAUACAGCUUUGCUGAACACAUUGGGCGAGCCUGCAGUCGACAGCUUUGACUUUCAUAAAAUCUGGCCUUUGGAGUACCAGAGGCUACUUUGACCUGUAGCUUUAUUUGUGUGGAAAGAAGACUAUGGGUCUCACUCUGUAGGAAAUCUCACCAAUAGAAUGGAUCAGAGAGAAGAUAAACCAUCCAAACUUGAAGAAGAACAAUCCAAUGCAGACAACAAUAAAAUAUUUAGAAAACACCAGUGAGAAUUCCAAGACAUAAGUGAUACUUAGAAAUGACUAGAUAUGCUGAGCCAUCUCUCUAUGUUUUAUUAACUUUAAAUUUUUUAAAUGCCAAUGAGACAGGAAACAGCCAGGGAGAGUACAUUGGAUAAUGGAAAAACUGCUGAAUUAAAUCAGCCUGGAUACUUUAAAGAUGUGUUGACCUCAGAAUGGAAACCAAGAUAUGUGUUAUGUUAGGGAAGAGGUUUGGCUUUUGUUUCCACAGGAGGAGAAAAAUUAUGGAUACUAUCAAGAUUGAUAAAGAUUAGAUUCAAACAGGAGAGACCUCUUGGUUAGGAGAGGUGAUAUUCAUCAAAUAGCAAGGCCUUUCAACCUGCCAAAAAGAGAAACUCCACAAAGUUAAGGUUGGGGCAGAGUUUUGUUUUGGUUUUCCAGGAAAAAUAAAAGUAUCCAAAAAAAAAAAAAGAGAGAGAGAGAGAAUCUGAAGACCACUGGACGCAUGGGACAUACGAAGAAGAAGAGUGAAUCAUCCAGAGAAAAUGCCCCAAGAAAAAGAACAAAUUGGCCUAAAUGUAUAGCACACUUCCAAUAGGAUAAAAUUUCAUAAAUCUUCCCAAGUAUUUUUCUCUACUGUGUCUACAGACACAUAAGACAAAUGGUCUUUUUGUAUUCCCAAUUCAAUUAAAAAUUAAAGCUGGCUUUGGAAUUGGA